AAACGAAAAUAGAAGAGUAGCAGAGAAGAAGUAAACUAAAGAAGAAGAAAUGAAAACUGAAAUAUACUUUCUGAUCACCAAGAGGAAAAUGAAUUAUAAGCAAGGUUCUGAAAACCGGACUGGUCAUUAAACCGCUAUAGUCAUUGGUUCACUGGUCCAACCGGUCUAACCAUGGUUCAACCGAAAAAAUCGUUUCAUAAUAAAAUAAUAAAUAAAUUAUAAAUAAACAUCCUAAAAUAUCUUUCAAAUUUAAAACCCUACAUAAAAUAUCACCAAUUAAAUGUAAUUAAUCAUCAAAAUAUGCAAAAACUUGCUGCAAAUUUGUUGACAAUUAACAAUAAUUAUACUUCCAUUAAAAAUAGCUGGAUUGAAUUACAAUGCACAAGUUAAAGAUAGAGAAUAUUGUCUUAAUGUAGCUGAGUCAAAAAGUAAAACAAAAAAUGAUAGUGUUGCACAACAAACACACAACAGAGCCUGAAACAAAAAGAAUCCAACACCGAGGAGGGGCAGCAAGUCAGCGGAGAUCGAGAGCAGGGACAGUGCAACCAAACAAUGAACAAAACAAUGAAAAUAGAAUUUUUUUAUAUAACAGAGCAAUCAAAACAUGAAUCAUACAAUCACUAAUUGCAAUUUUUUUCUUCAUAAGAACAGAACAAUGAAAACAUGAAUCAAAGGAUCACCAAUUGCAAAUUUUUUAAUAACAGAAGUUGGAACAGUGAAAAAUGAAGAGAGAUCAACAGUUUUUAACCCAAUUUUAACAAAGCUCAUCACAAUGAUUAACAACAAAAAAAAAGCAAUGAAGGAACAGUGAAUCAUAAUAGAGUUAUCAAUUUAAAAUUUAUCAUCAAAUACAAUCAGUGAGCAAAACCAAUCAACCAAGCACUGACUGGGCAUUCG